CCCUAGUUUCACUUCUUUCUCGCAGAGUUGGAGCUUUUAAAAAUCUCUCCCAAAAAAAAAUAGAUCCUACUGCAAAGGAGGAAGGCGACGAGGAGGCGGCGGACUAUGAAUUUGGAGGACGCAAAUGAUUAUUGAUUUUGGAAUCGGAUGCAGAAAAAUUAUCUGAGAUGAUAAAAUUGAAGAAUCAAUGGUUAUGUUAAUGCUGAUUAUUGAUGGCUGCGACUCUGAUCGAUGAAGGCUGGAACCCUAGCGGUGGGUAAUAAGCACAGUCGAUUGAUCUCAGGUGGAGGGGAAGAGAACGAAGGAACGAAAGGACCCAAAA